rnacentral:rRNA from 1 species
GACGAACGCUGGCGGCGUGCUUAACACAUGCAAGUCGAACGGAAAGGCCCUGCUUUUGUGUGGUGCUCGAGUGGCGAACGGGUGAGUAACCCGUGAGUAACCUGGCCUUUACUUUGGGAUAACCUCAGGAAACUGGGGCUAAUACCUGAUACGAGCUCCUGCUGCAUGGUGGGGGUUGGAACGUUUCGGCGGUUGGGGAUGGACUGGCGGCUUAUCAGCUUGUUGGUUGGGUAGUGGCUUACCCAGGCUUUGACGGGUAGCCGGCCUGAGAGGGUGACCGGGGACAUUGGGACUGAGAGAGGGAGCAGUCUCGUAUGGUAGGCAGCGGUGGGGAAUAUGGCACAAUGGGCGGACGUGUGAGGCGGAAACGCCGCGUUUGGGAUGACGGCUUUCGGGGUAUAAAGGGCAUUAGCCUGAGACGAAGCGGGAGUGACGGUAAUGGGUAAAGAAGCACCGGCUAACUACGUG